CUACCUGCACAUUACCCACAAGAUAUUCAGUAAACAUCCAAGUAUCUUCUCUCUUUUUUUAACAAAAAAACUCUAAUAAAUCAUUAUUCAAUUCACUUAGUAAGAUUAAUAAUCCAAAAGGUUUCCAAUGCNAGCAAGAUGGCGGUCGAGGUCGUGUAUUUUUUGAUACUAAUGUUAUCAGGAGCUGUCGUUUUUGGCAUUCAUUGGAAAUAUGGUUUAUGCUGUAGCGUAAGUGCUCGAAGAACUUGGCAAAGAAGAACAAAAAUGGAAUAAAGGAAAAGUGCUAAAUUGCAUAAGACUGGUUUUGAAUGCAGCAACCAUGCCUGUANUGGAAAUGUUUCUCCUUGGAGCUCUCGUNACUGGUCUGACGAUGGUCGACAUUUAUCUCUUGAACAAGUUAUGCGAAGACAAGACGAAUGCNCAGCGAGAUAAGAAACACAACAGGGUCCUGAUUCCAUACUCAAACUCCUACUUCCCAGUACGGUGAAUGUUGAACUCUCAAAAUGACUGGUUUAAAAACUACCAACACUGGACUUACAGAACUGAUAGUUAACCAAAGUAUUGUGUUAUUAAGUUGUAUAUGUGUGAAUCAAUGUUGUAAUUGUACGGUCGACAUGAUAAAUUAUUCUUAUACAUUCACAUCAAACGCAUGUUAGAAUAAACAUUUUCAAGAGCAAGAUUAUCUCAUCCAUUUUUUUUUUCUUUGAAGAGAAUUUGAUCGAGUUUAUUUGGCAUGAACUUUACACUUUACAUAUAGUUCCUCAUCGUGGUCGCGCGCACAUCUUGGACAUCAAUAGUUUUAUCAAUAUGUUGUUUUUGCCAAGUUUUGCAAGUGUGUAAGUACCAACAGAAGUAAUUGCAAUUAUCACAUUGGCAAAGUAUAUAUACUUAUUUAAACUAGAAAAAAAAAAAACAAUUCAGUUUUUCUGGCGAUUUUAUUUAUUCCUAGAAAUGAGAAAAACGCGAGCGCCCUGCAGUAGUCAACCUUAUCUAUACAGAAAACAAGAAAUAUAAACAAAAAACAAGAAAUAUAUAUAUCUUGAAGCCAAAUUUUGCUCUUGAAAAUGGAUUCAAAAUAUUCUCUUUGGUUUUGCUAGCUGCAUUUUAGAGAAAUAAUCUGUUGCUUUCUGUAAAGUUAAAAUUAGUUUUAAAAAUGACGUUUAAAUCAUACUCGAAUCCUCUGGGCCACCAGCAAAAACCAUCAAUAAUNGAUGUNCCGUGAAGUAAACAAGCUUACUUCAACACGAAUACUUGAAAUACAGCUCCAAUUUUCAAAGCAAACGUUCAAGGACUGUGAUAAAUGACGGAGUGCAAUGAUGGUUGAGUUAUUGGCACUUGGAACCAUUGCUUUAGUGACGAUAUUAGACGUUUAUAUGAUUAAAAGAUUGUUCUGCAAGAAAGAGAAGGCUGCAGAUACUGAUGUCUACCGAGCUAACCAAGAUGGCCACGGUUCUUACCGACUGUGAGAAAGGCUGCAAGAUUUCAGCAAGGGACUCUUAGAGAACUUUUAGUGACAUUCAUGGCGUUGUAAAGGAAAUACCUUGAAAAUACUGGAAAGGGACUGUAUCCAAGUUGCAAAAAUUACCAAUCUUUUCUUGGAAAAGAAUAUAAUUUCAUAUCGGAAUCCGCACUAUAGAAUAAUUUACUAGUUGAGUAGUACUCACCGGAUUGUAGCUUAUAUUUGGUAUUCAAAUGCGCAAAUGAUUCAAGAACUUUUCGUUCAGAAAAAGGAGAUUUAUCGAGAGAAAAACAUUUCAAUAAAGUUGAAAAUAAUGUACGAAGAAUUUAAUACCAAUCAACACUACAUAAUUUCAAUUGAUUGUAAAACUGAGAAAUAAAAUGUUCAAUCUCACACUGUUACAUUCAUAGUAUUCUUUACUGAUGGCUAAUAUGAUUUGUUAAAAAUGAUAAGCAUUGCUCUAAAAGUGCAAUAGCACAUUUCUGGAAGACGGAGACAGGGUUGUUUUUGUCGAUGAAUUGGCAUUGUUCCAAACCAUCAAUCCCGAUCUAUCGUGCGAUAACCUCAACAUUUAACGUUUUUGGUCAAUAUUUUGUCCCAUAAGUUCUUUAACUGUGAGCGAGAUAACAUGUUUGUGGAGAUAUUUGCAGCUGGCAGUGUUCUGAUAGCAUUGGCAGUUGAAUCCUUUCUACUUAAGAACAUCUGCAACGGAGGAAUUAUCCCAUAUCCAUACUAUCUUCGNGAACGUAAGGAGCAAUCUANUUGAACUCAUAGCUUUCAAGUGUAAAGAGCUGAAGAUGGUUUUCGUUGAAGCAUUCAUUGGAUUCACAGCGUUCUCCGUUGUAUCAAUCAAUGUUUUUCUUGUUAAGAAGCUAUUUGAUGAUAAGCCGAUCGAGAGGAAGUUUUUGCCAGUUUACUUCCCUUUCCCAACAAGACAUGGGAAUUUUAAGACACCAGCGCAAGAUCGUGACUGGAAAACAACUGCAUCGACAUAGAUUCUUCUGCAUUAAAACCGAUCGAAGAAACGUUAUUAUUACUUGCACUGAAUAAACAAAGACUGCACCAUAUGAAGAAACAGGACACAGUGGUAGUUUUUGUCAAGAAAGGUAAAGGAACUAGCUCUUUUGAAAAAUGCAGCGAACUUGCAGAUGAGCCUGGCAAAAACAAAUAACUGAACGGACUUACAAGAAAACGUUANAAACGUGGAAAUCAUGCAUCCAAUCUUUUUUUGCACAUUGUGAAUUAUUAUAAGAAAACUGUAUGCCUGCAUAGUAAAAUUAAAUCUUGUUAACUCGA
rnacentral:lncRNA from 1 species